AGAAGAGGGUAAUCUAGCCGAGGCAAGCGAGAGAAAAAUUACCUAAGAGUUCUGUGAGCGAAGCAACAGCAAAGCCCGUUGUUGUGGGGGCAUAUGGGAGAUACCCAGUGAGCCUUUCAGAUAAUGAGAGUUAAAUUUCAUCGAACAGCCCCACUACCUGCCCGAGGGGACUGACCCAUCUCUGGAUGAUCUGGACUGUGUCUGGAAGCAGCUGCUAUAAAUGAGUUCUCUGCACGAAUUUGAAAGAAGGGCACCAGCAAAGAAGACAUUAGCUCCAUGAGGUGAGGCCUUGAGUUUCAGAGAGCCCGCAACACUGGCGGCUGAUGAGAAGAAUCAGCUGAGUCCUGCCCUGCCUCAUGAG
rnacentral:lncRNA from 1 species